rnacentral:rRNA from 1 species
ACGCUCGACACCUACGAGAGGCAGCAGUAGGGAAUCUUCCGCAAUGGACGAAAGUCUGACGGAGCAACGCCGCGUGAACGAUGAAGGUUUUCGGAUCGUAAAGUUCUGUUGUUAGGGAAGAACAAACUUCGUUUGAAUAAGGCGGAGUCAUGACGGUACCUAACGAGAAAGCCACGGCUAACUACGUGCCAGCAGCCGCGGUAAUCUGAGGCGGGCUGGCAAGGC